AUCUCUGCAUUGUUCUUCCUAGUGUCUAACCAUGCAAAGUCUUCCUCAGUUCUGAUCCUUCCUUUUCAUCUUCCAUGUAUUUUUAAUUCUUUUUUUCCCCCUGGUACUAGGAAUUGGACUCAGGACCUUGUACUUGCCAGGCAUACAGCGGAACCACUGAGCUAAAUCCCUGGCCUCUUCCAUGUAUUUUUAAAAAGCUGACUGCAUAUCAGAGCUUUCAGGGAAUGACAGACACAAGUUGUUUCUCUCAACCUCCUUAGACUGAGAGCAUAACCACUACCUCUUCCUCUCUUCAACUCAGAUAAGGCUGAGGGAAGAGCAUGAGCAUGAAGUCUGGGGCAUGGAACAGCAUGUGACAGUGGGACCCCCGGGAGUGAGUAAGAACAAGAGUAACCUCAGAAGAAGCAUGGCAGCACCAUGGCUGGAAAGGUCACCUGACACCAGCAAAUAUGAAACCUGCUCUCUCUACUUCAUGACAGAAUAUGAUGAAAUUUGUAGGCAAAAUGCUUCAGAUUCUCAGGGAAAUCAAGGGCACGGGCUGGACCUGGAUGAAGGGAGAGAACUGAAGCAUGCAAAGGAGACAAUGCACUGCCAAGUGCAUUGUGUUGCCAAGUGUGCUGGCCCACACCUAUAAUCCCAGCACUGGAGAGGCUGAGGCAGGAG
rnacentral:lncRNA from 1 species